rnacentral:rRNA from 1 species
GACGAACGCUGGCGGCGUGCUUAACACAUGCAAGUCGAACGGAAAGGCCCUGCUUGCAGGGUACUCGAGUGGCGAACGGGUGAGUAACACGUGGGUGAUCUGCCCUGCACUUCGGGAUAAGCCUGGGAAACUGGGUCUAAUACCGGAUAGGAGCCAUUUUUAGUGUGAUGGUUGGAAAGUUUUUUGGGUGUAGGAUGAGCUCGCGGCCUAUCAGCUUGUUGGUGGGGUAAUGGCCUACCAAGGCGGCGACGGGUAGGCGGCCUGGGAGGGUGGCAGGCCAACAUGGGACAUAGGUACGGGCCAGGACGCCGUGGGGAGGAGUGGGUGGGGAGUGUGAGCCAGAGGCAGCAACCCUGUGUGGGGGACGCCGGUUGGGGGGUUGCGACCUUCGGUUGUAAACCACCUUUCCCAAGGGAUGAAACUUUUGUGACGGUACCUAGAUAAGAAGCACCGGCUAACUACGUG